rnacentral:rRNA from 1 species
GUGUGUGUUUGUGUAUCUAAACACCUCUCAAGAUUAGUCCAUGCAUGUCUAAGUAUAAGCAAUUAUACCGUGAAACUGCGAAUGGCUCAUUAAAUCAGUUAUCGUUUAUUUGAUAGUACCUUACUACUUGGAUAACCGUGGUAAUUCUAGAGCUAAUACAUGCUAAAAACCCUGACUUCGGGAAGGGUGUAUUUAUUAGAUAAAAAACCAAUGCCCUUCGGGGCUCUUUGGUGAUUCAUGAUAACUUAACGGAUCGCAUGGCCUUGCGCCGGCGACGGUUCAUUCAAAUUUCUGCCCUAUCAACUUUCGAUGGUAAGGUAUUGGCUUACCAUGGUUUCAACGGGUAACGGGGAAUUAGGGUUCGAUUCCGGAGAGGGAGCCUGAGAAACGGCUACCACAUCCAAGGAAGGCAGCAGGCGCGCAAAUUACCCAAUCCCGACGCGGGGAGGUAGUGACAAUAAAUACUGAUACAGGGCUCUUUUGGGUCUUGUAAUCGGAAUGAGUACAAUUUAAACCUCUUAACGAGGAACAAUUGGAGGGCAAGUCUGGUGCCAGCAGCCGCGGUAAUUCCAGCUCCAAUAGCGUAUAUUAAAGUUGUUGCAGUUAAAAAGCUCGUAGUUGAAUCUUGGGCCUGGCUGGCCGGUCCGCCUCACCGCGUGUACUGGUCUGGCCGGGCCUUUCCUUCUGGAGAACCUCAUGCCCUUCAUUGGGUGUGUUGGGGAACCAGGACUUUUACUUUGAAAAAAUUAGAGUGUUCAAAGCAGGCCUUUGCUCGAAUACGUUAGCAUGGAAUAAUAGAAUAGGACGUGCGGUCCUAUUUUGUUGGUUUCUAGGACCGCCGUAAUGAUUAAUAGGGAUAGUCGGGGGCAUCAGUAUUCAAUUGUCAGAGGUGAAAUUCUUGGAUUUAUUGAAGACUAACUACUGCGAAAGCAUUUGCCAAGGAUGUUUUCAUUAAUCAGUGAACGAAAGUUAGGGGAUCGAAGACGAUCAGAUACCGUCGUAGUCUUAACCGUAAACUAUGCCGACUAGGGAUCGGGCGAUGUUUCAAUCUUGACUCGCUCGGCACCUUACGAGAAAUCAAAGUUUUUGGGGUUCUGGGGGGAGUAUGGUCGCAAGGCUGAACUAG